GGGACAAUAGUAAAUGGUUUUACCGUUGGACUGCAAAUCUAAUUGGAAAAGGUUCAAUUCCUGCUUGUCCCU